rnacentral:lncRNA from 1 species
AAUAGCUAUAGAACUGGAAGGAAUAUCAGAGAUAUUUAGUCCAGUCCUCUUGUAUUAUAGAUGAAGGCCAAAAACCAUACAGGAAAUAACUAUGAGAGGUGAAAUUUGAACCCAGGUCCCGUGACUCCAGCCAUCAAUCUUUCCAGCGUAUCAAUUGUUCACACUUCUCCUACCAUGUCGAAAUCAUCUUAAAGAUUCAACCAAGAUGCCAUUUCUUCCACAGCAGCUUUCCUACUUUCUACCCCAAACUUCUUUUUGCUCUUUUUAAAAAAAUUAUAGUUUUUAUUUUCAAAAUAUAUACAUGUUAGUUUUUGACAUUCACCCCUAGAAUACCCCUGUGUUCUAAUUUUUUCCCCUCCCUUCCCUUUUUCCCUCCCCAGUUGGCAAGUAAUCCAUAUAUUCUACCCCAGACUUAAAGUAGUUAAAUGAAUUUCCCCUCUGAUCUCUCACAGCACUUUGGAUCUCUCCUGAUUUUUUUUCUCCCCUACCCCUAACGUUGGGGUAUGGGAUCAGAUCUCUUUAUUUCAUCAAUGUGGGGAACUCAUCAUUUGAGAAGUCAUUCCACCAAUUCACAUAGACAAUUCUUCUGCAGUUUAUGUAUUUAGAGAGUUGAUUGGAGUAGCAAGGCAAGGCUGGAACCCAGAAUUUUAGAACUGAAAAGGAGGAUAGUCCUAGAACUGGAAAUAACUCCAGAAUCUGUCUCUUCUAACUUCUUUUUAUGGAUGAGGAAACUGAUGCCAAAGGAAGAUAUUUAAGGUCACAUAAAUCUCCUAGGUAGGAUUUGAACUCAGGUCCUCUGACUUCAGAGUGAGGAUUCUUUCCACUGUACAAAGCUGCUGCCCAUACUUUAUAUUCUAAUUAUUUGUGUAUUUAUCUCAUUUUUCUAAUAAGGCACUCAGUUCCUUGAGAGUGGGGACUUCUCAGCUUAGUUGGGCAUGAAUGAUUUGGGCCUUGAGGAUCCACUCAGCCCCUGGAUGGUUCUUCAGCCACUAGAAGAAAAUUGGCAUAAUGACCUCAAGUCUUCUGAAGCAAAGAAACCCGGAGGAGCUUUUUUUUUGAGGGGAGAAUUCAUCAUGGACAAGAAGAAGUAAACAGAGGAUAACUGGAGAUGGGGGAGAGGAUGAAAGAAAACUCCCAGGGAACCAGAGAGAUGAAGAGAGAAUAUUGGAUAUACACAGGGGGCACCUUGUGCAAAUGCUCACAGGUGGGAGAUAAAGAAUGUUGGGUCUCAUAUCCUGUGUUGGACUUUUAAAGUACUUGAAAACAAGAGUUGUGUCAGCUUUCUAUUCUUGUAUCCCCAGUGCCUAACACAGAGCAUUACACACAGCAGGUAAUGACUUUUAAAUUGGGUUGAAUACACUCUACUCUAUCCAUUUUAUAGAGGAGGAAAUCAGAUUCUGUACAAGGCCAGUGAAUGGUGCAAAGUCAUUUCUCAAGGGUAGAGACUGUAUCUUAUACUAUUUGUUUGCCCUGCUACUGUGGGGCUGUGCAUGCUGCUGUUAUUCACAUAAGUUUUUGGAAGGGAUGGUGUUAGUGGCAAUGAAAUAACACUGAAGCCUUGAGCUAGCCAUUAUUUCAUGGCUCUCUCACCAUUAAGUCACAAAGGUGAGGGACACAGCCUCCUGGACAGGGUUUAGAACUGAAAUUAUACCUUGUUCACAGCAGCUUUAUACAGCCAGCUUGGAUGGUUUGAUAUCAUAGAUCCAAUGAGUUUCAAUUCAACAAGUUUUUUCAACAAGUACCUCCUCCAGGCAGUGAUAUGGAGCAUGUAUGGGGCAGGGG